GAGGAGCUCUGCCCCUGGCAUGGGGGGUGGUGCUAGACAGCCAGGAGGGAGGCCUGUUCCCUGGCGCCAGUGAGAGUCUCAAACAGGACAAACACUCGCCCUGCCUGCGACAGCCCAUGGAAGCGAGCUUGACUCUAAGGAACAUGAUUUCCUCUGGUCAUCAAGAAUGCCGUUCUUACUCAAUCCACAGCACCUCUUCUGACGGAAAACACUAAGGAUCCUCUGUGAGGUACUGAUGUGGUUCCCAAGAGAAACUCAACAGAAUAAAAGAGUCUGUGUCUGAAUCGUAAGGAAGAGCCUGUCACAGGACCCAAACUGCUUUCAUCGCAUCCACCCAAGGGCACGUGUCCCAAGAGCCAUGGACUUCCGUGUCCACGGUGGCGCUCUCUCUCACAGCCAAGAUGUGGAGACAACCCACAUCUUGCCAGCGGAUGAGCAGAAGAGGGAGCUGGGAUCUGUGCACACGGUGGGGCGGGUUCUAGGCAGUUGUAAAAAGAUUCCGGCUUUGCUUUCCGUUAAGGGACAUAAGCCAGCCUGAGGUGCAAUACAGGGAGAUCUCACUCAGCAGCCAGAUUUAAGAAAAGAACAAGGGGGGCAGGAGGUGGCGCACCUGGUUGAGCGCACAUGUUACAGUACGAAAGGACCCAGGUUCAAGCCCCCACUCCCCACCUGCAAUGGGGAGCUUCACAAGCAAUGAAGCAGGGCUGCAGGUGUCUCUGUCUCUAUCUCUCCCUCCCUCUCCAUUUCUUUCUGUCUAUCAAUAAAUGGUGUAUAUUCAGUCACUCAGGAUGAGUCUAUCCCAGCAGAUCUAAGGACUCGACAGGAGAUUCAGAAAAAAGGGUCAGAAUGGCCUGGGGACCCAGUGUCCGGUGUGGAGUUGAUGACACGGGAGGCUUUGCUGACGUGGAUCUUGGCAUGGUGUAAAACUGUGCCCAGUAACAACAACAUUUGCUCAGUAGUUUUUUUUCAAUUUACUAUCUGGCGAUUCAUUUCUUAUUAGUCUGUGCCAAAUGAAGGUUUGUUUUAAUUUUAAAAAGAAAGAGCUUCCGUCUUACAGAGGGAUAUUAGGCUAGGUGGUCUCUAAGAUUUGAUACGAAACUAAAACUUAUCCAAUGCAAAGUUUCAGCUCAGAGAUUAUUUUAUCUCAUUUCAUUAUUUCAGUUGUUAUUGUCACCAGGGUUAUCACUGGGGCUCAGUGUUUGUAAGACAGAUACAUUGCUCCUGGUGGCCACCCCCCCACACACCAUUUGAUAGAGAGGGAAACAGAGAGAGACAGAGAGACACCUGCAGACACGCUUCACCACUCACGAGGCUUCUCCGCAGGUGGGGAGCGGGGCCUUGAACCCAGGCCCUCGCACACUGUGAUGUGUUUGCUCCAAGAUUCUACAUGCCCUGCACUGAAGUCCACUGCAUGGUCCUCACCCAUCCCGCCUCGCUGUGCCACUUUGAGCCCGAGGCAGAGGCUCCAGUGACAGAACAUCUGACUUGAAUCUCUGAGGUUCCCAGUUCAACCCCCAGUGGUGCAUGUGCUGAUGUGCUCUGUCUUCACUUUCUCUGAGUUGAUGGUUCUUUGUUUAAGUAUCAGGUUAUUUCAGGAGUCACAGUCUUAUCACUUUGUGGUU